rnacentral:rRNA from 1 species
AAAUUUUAAUGUAAACUUAAAUGUUAAUCUGCAGAGGUACAGCUCUACAGAAUAAGAUUACAAUCUUAAUUAGAGAGUAAAUUUAUAUAAUAACCAUAGUUGGCCUAAAAGCAGCCACCAAUUAAGAAAGCGUUCAAGCUCAACAACAAAAUUUAUUCUUAAUUCAAAAAAUAGUAUAAACUCCUAAUUUAAACACUGGAUUAUUCUACUAGCCUGUAGAAGAAAUACUGUUAAUAUGAGUAACAAGAUUUAUAUCUCCAAACACACAUGUAUGUCAGCCCGAAUCCCAACUGACAGUUAACAAUUUGAUAAAUGUAUAUAUUAAUUAAUAAUUUUCCAUUAUAUUGUUAAUCCAACACUGGGGUGUACAUAAGGAAAGAUUAAAAAAAGUAAAAGGAACUCGGCAAACAUAAACCCCGCCUGUUUACCAAAAACAUCACCUCUAGCAUUACCAGUAUUAGAGGCACUGCCUGCCCAGUGACAUUAGUUAAACGGCCGCGGUAUCCUGACCGUGCAAAGGUAGCAUAAUCAUUUGUUCCUUAAUUAGGGACUUGUAUGAAUGGCCCCACGAGGGUUUAACUGUCUCUUACUUUUAAUCAGUGAAAUUGACCUUCCCGUGAAGAGGCGGGAAUACAAAAAUAAGACGAGAAGACCCUAUGGAGCUUAAAUUAAUAUGUUCAACAGAAUUUAAUUUCAGUCCAAUAGGAAUAAAAAUAUUCUAACUGAACAAUAAAUUUUGGUUGGGGUGACCUCGGAGUAUAACACAACCUCCGAGCAAUUAAACCAAGACUUACCAGUCAAGGCCAUAUAACUUAUUGAUCCAAUCUUAUUGAUCAACGAAACAAGUUACCCUAGGGAUAACAGCGCAAUCCUAUUUAAGAGUUCAUAUCGACAAUAGGGUUUACGACCUCGAUGUUGGAUCAGGACACCCAAAUGGUGCAGCAGCUAUUAAAGGUUCGUUU